UGACAUGACACACGACACUGACACAUUUGCUCUCGCGGGAUUUGAUGAUUUUAAUCACAUGACAAAAUCCACAAUUUCAAUUGGACCAUGAUAGUCGUGACGUCAAAACGUCAAAAAAAGUUUUCCAAACACGUUAUGUCUAGGUACACGCUAAAAUGUACGCAAAUAAAAAAGUUAAACUUCAUCAAGCCAGUGACUAUUUAGCGUGGGCAGUGACUGUAUAUUUUGAUACACGCUAUUUUGAUAUGUUUAGUGUUUGUUUGAUAGAAAAAUAUUUGUUAUGACGUUUAAUUCUACCUAACAUUUUUAUUUGCGUACACGUUAGCGUAUACCUAGACACAACGUGUUUGAAAAAAUUUGACGUCACACUAUCACGGUCCAUUGUACGACGCAAUUGCAUUUUGUUUGAUUUUGUCUUUGUUGUUUUUUUAAAAAUUGAGCUAAGACCAGCUAAGGCUGUGUUUUACCAUUAUUGAAAUGGAAGAACAUAAAAUAAUACGUAAAUGUGUUCCUGGUUGUACCGACUGGACAAGCAAUCGAUUACGUUUUCCAAAUCCCCAACAUGAAAUGAACAUGUUCUUGGAAUGGAUGAAACUUAUCAAGAGGAAUCAAUUAAGCAUUUUAAAGAAGAAGACAUUUUACCAAACGUGAAAUCUGGAAGGAGAGGAAUUAUCAGAAGCGCAAUCCCGAGCUUAUUUUUACCGCCACUAGCAGGUCAGGGUGAAUAGAUGCCUAAGCUCAGAAUGGGACUCAUUUCCAUGGAGUAUAACGUGGAUCCCUGCACAAGGAUAUAGGCGAAGACCAGAAUAGCAGCAAUCACUUACAAAUUAUAUCUGUGAUAUUAUACUUCUGUAAUAGGGCUUUUAGCUUUAGUAAACAAAUGACUGUGAAUGAAAAGCCCUAUUCCAUGCAAAUUUUGAUUGCUCAAAUAAGUUUAUAAAGUAAAUUACAUAAAUAAAUACAUUUUUAAGAA